CCUACGGGGGGCUGCAGUGGGGAAUAUUGGACAAUGGGGGGAACCCUGAUCCAGCGACGCCGCGUGAGUGAAGAAGUAUUUCGGUAUGUAAAGCUCUAUCAGCAGGGAAGAAAAUGACGGUACCUGAUUAAGAAGCCCCGGCUAACUACGUGACAGCAGCCGCGGUAAUACGUAGGGGGCAAGCGUUAUCCGGAUUUACUGGGUGGAAAGGGAGCGUAGACGGGGCUGCAAGUCCGAAGUGAAAGGCCGGGGCUCAACCCCGGGACUGCUUUGGAAACUGUUUAACUGGAGUGCAGGAGAGGUAAGCGGAAUUCCUGGUGUAGCGGUGAAAUGCGUAGAUAUAAGGAGGAACACCAGUGGCGAAGGCGGCUUACUGGACUGUAACUGACGUUGAGGCUCGAAAGCGUGGGGAGCAAACAGGAUUAGAUACCCGAGUAGUC
rnacentral:rRNA from 1 species